rnacentral:rRNA from 1 species
UACGUAGGGGGCGAGCGUUGUCCGGAUUUAUUGGGCGUAAAGAGCGUGUAGGCGGCCAGGUAGGUCUGCUGUGAAAACUCGAGGCUCAACCUCGAGACGUCGGCGGAAACCAUCUGGCUAGAGUCCGGAAGAGGAGAGUGGAAUUCCUGGUGUAGCGGUGAAAUACGCAGAUAUCAGGAAGAACACCCGUGGCGAAGGCGGCUCUCUGGGACGGUACUGACGUUGAGAAGCGAAAGCAUGGGGAGCGAACAGG